AUUUUUUGGCUGCACCAAAGCAUGUUACUUACUUUUCAGUUCAGGUAAUGUAUUUACAUAAUAAAUCUUAAGCUUUUUAUUGGUGGUAUUGGGACUAGACACGGCCUUGUGCACACUAGGAAAGUGCUCUACUACUGAGCCACAUCCCUAGUCCAAAAUUUAAGCUUUAAAAGUAUGUAAAUCAAAGGGCAAAUAAAUUAUAUUUAAGCUAUUAAUUACACAGUGCAUAUGCCUUUACUUACUUUCCUAACUAGCUAUAAGUAAUGAAUUUCUCCAGUGUUUAUUUAAACAGUUUAUUUUUCAAGACAGGUAUAUGUUGCACCCCUAUAAGUGCUACAUAUUUCCUUUUAGGAAGCACAAAUAUGCAGUACAUUUAGUAGCUUGGUGGAGACGUUUUGGGUUUGUUAUUUUUUCCUAACAACUGAGGAAGGAGCUGUGUUUGUGUCCAGGCACCACUUCUUUAAUUGUACAACGAAUAAAAGAAGGCGACAACUAGAGCAAGCAAGAGCAUUGUUAAGGGCAAUCCUCAUGCUCUCGCUUUGUGCUCAGCAAGAACACCUGGGAUUCUUCAGCUUUGCCAUGUGUAGAGAACAGCCCAAAAAUAGGCCUGCUAAAACUUCCAAGAUGGAUUGCUAGACUUUGUGAGUCACCUCUGAAACUUAAAGCUCUGCGCUUUGUGAUUUUUGUUUGCAUCAUUAGGAUGAAGAAUUUCAGCAAAGCUAACCACAAUUACUUGCGGCUAAUCUUAGCAGAUGUAAAAGUAAGCAUUUUCUCUUCCA
ensembl:lncRNA